UACGGAGGGUGCGAGCGUUGUCCGGAUUCAUUGGGCGUAAAGAGCGUGUAGGCGGCCAGGUAGGUCGGUUGUGAAAACUGGAGGCUCAACCUUCAGAGGUCGACCGAAACCAUCUGGCUAGAGUCCGGGAGAGGAGAGUGGAAUUCCUGGUGUAGCGGUGAAAUGCGCAGAUAUCAGGAAGAACACCCGUGGCGAAAGCGGCUCUCUGGAACGGUACUGACGCUGAGACGCGAAAGCUAGGGGAGCGAACGGG
rnacentral:rRNA from 1 species